rnacentral:ncRNA from 2 species
CUAAGAUGUUUAAUAUGUAUUUUUAAAUAGGUUUGGUUAGAACUGAAAUGUCUGCUAUACUUUUAUUAUCAAAUAUGUUGAUCCUUUCCUCCUGUUUUGAUGUGAAGUCAGUUUUGUUGACUGCCUCUUCUUAUCCCCAGGGGUGACCAGUCCCGGAAGAGAGCUGGGGAUGAGUUGGCUUAUAAUAGCUCGUCAGCAUGUGCAAGUUCCAGGGGGUACAGAUAGUGAAUGUAUUGAAUAUGCUUUCCUUCCUGAAAAGAGGACACACUGGAGCUGCAGAGACUGUAUUCAGAGCACAGUGGGGGCUGCACACACUCAGGAGCUCUGUCACAAAGCUGUUCAUGGAAGAGGAUGUUGGACUUCUUACUUGGUUUGUAAUUUUAAAACAAAAACU